rnacentral:misc_RNA from 1 species
GAAAUGCGAUAAGUAAUGUGAAUUGCAGAAUUCAGUGAAUCAUCGAAUCUUUGAACGCACAUUGCGCCCGUCAGCAUUCUGGCGGGCAUGCCUGUUCGAGCGUCAUUUCAACCCUCAGGACCCCCCUUUCUCGGGGAGGGACCUGGCGUUGGGGAUCGGCCCGCCCCCCGCGGCGUCGCCGUCCCCGAAAUCUAGUGGCGGUCUCGCUGCAGCCUCCCCUGCGUAGUAGUUACAACCUCGCAUCGGAGCGCGGCGCGGCCACGCCGUAAAACCCCCGACUUUCUGGACGUUGACCUCGGAUCAGGUAGGAAUACCCGCUGAACUUAAGC